UCUGCAGCCCUAGAGCCUUUUCCCUACAACAGUGAAACCAACAACGAAUGUGUCAGGAGGCAUCUUGAAGUUAUUUAUGACAAGAUAGGCUAAUGUUUAAAGAGCAAUCCGACAUGAGUGAAGAGGCUCACUGACUUCGGAGAGAAUAAAGGGAAAUGUUUCAUUGCAGAGCCAAUUGGGGUAGAGAAGAAUUCCAUGUCGACAACAAAAUGAAAAUACAAGAGGAAAUACACUCAAGGAAGAAGCAGGUUAUAUACUUCACACUACAUGAAGCCAUCUACUCCUACUUUUCUUUUGGUGUUAUGGAGUGGGAGAUACAGAGCAACGCUGGGUGUCAUGGGGCCAUCCCAGUGAUGAGGAAAUCUCCCAUCUUGAAGAAAAACAAUUCCCGUUGUGUCCCAGAGUCAAGAAGGAUUUAGCAGGAAAGAGAGGCUUCUGACGCUGUGUGGACAAUGUGGGGAGAGCUGACCUUGAGGAACCCAAGCCUUCCUGUCUCUGGGCUCGGAGGAUGGAAGCUGAGAGAAUGAGAACACUCCAGCCCCCCACUGUGCCUGCUAUGUAAAGUGAGGAAUAUAUCAACAAACUUGCCAGAAGAAAUACCAAGUCAAAGAAAAUGUCAUCACCGUAGACAUCCGUGGACUCAUUCUGGGCCAUCUUGACACUUGCUGCAGACAAGCCAAGAAAGUAAACUGGGCAAGAUGAAUCUAAUUGAAAAAUGGAUCUGUUCACUUGAAUUAAAUAAAUCACGACACUUGAGAAAUUGUAUGGCAAUGCUAUCGUGACCACGGAAAAGAAAAUUAUUCCACAGGAAAGGACUGGACAAAGCUAACAAUAGCAACAGACAGCAGAGCUACAGAGAGUCCACAGAUGAGGCCACGGUGUCAGCAUAGCCACAGAGGACAGUGCUGAGACAGCCAAAGAAGUGAUGGGACGAGCAAACAGGAAACAAGGGGGACAGUCUCUGCCAAGUGGAAAGGUUGACAGCUGUCAACCCUGCUCCCAGUUCCAAGUCCUGAGUGGGCUUCCUAAAUGGACAUGGAAUGAUAGCUGGAAGAAGAAAUAAAGCUCUCCUUAUUUCACAUCUCCCACCUAAUACCUUUGUGUAAGAUGAUAAGGAGUCCUGGAGAGCGGAUCUAGCAUUUUGGAUCUCAAAAGGACAACCACAGUCACAAUGAAGACACAGUGGUGAUAUCCUGCAACUGCAGCCCCGCUGACCAUACCCACUUCUGCCUGGCCAUGAAGCCAUGUGACACCUCCUCAAACACAGGUGCAUUGGCCCCGGGCCUCUCUGCCCAGUCCUUUCUAUUCUCCCCGGAGCACCUGGCCUCCCACACCUGCUGCUGAUGCCUUUAUAUAACAACUGCUCUGCCCAUUAUGCAUUUAAGACUGUGAAAUAGACCUGAAGUGCUUUAAUAAAAAGAAUAUUCUAUAUCCUGAGACUGUGAGAAACACUUGAACGGUACAGAGCAGAGGACUUGAGGCUGAGAACACUUCAGUGCUACCUGGAAGACACUUCCUUCGAUCUCUGAUUAAUUCCCCCAAGUGGGUGACAUACUGAUUUAGUACUGGGAGACAGAAUGACAGCCCAUGGUCAGUGUGGACGCCAGUUUGGAGGCAGAUAAAGGGUUUUCACGAAGUGUGCACACUCCUGGCAGCUUGUAAAGUGGUCCUGGGUUGCAUUCACAGUGUAUAACCACCAAAC
rnacentral:lncRNA from 1 species